rnacentral:rRNA from 1 species
GAUGAACGCUGGCGGCGUGCCUAACACAUGCAAGUCGAGCGAACUCUUCGGGGUGAGCGGCGGACGGGUAAGUAACGCGUGGGUAACCUGCCCUGUACACACGGAUAACAUACCGAAAGGUAUGCUAAUACGGGAUAAUAUGUGAAAGUCGCAUGGCUUUUAUAUCAAAGCUUUUGCGGUACAGGAUGGACCCGCGUCUGAUUAGCUAGUUGGUAAGGUAACGGCUUACCAAGGCGACGAUCAGUAGCCGACCUGAGAGGGUGAUCGGCCACAUUGGAACUGAGACACGGUCCAAACUCCUACGGGAGGCAGCAGUGGGGAAUAUUGCACAAUGGGCGAAAGCCUGAUGCAGCAACGCCGCGUGAGCGAUGAAGGCCUUCGGGUCGUAAAGCUCUGUCCUCAAGGAAGAUAAUGACGGUACUUGAGGAGGAAGCCCCGGCUAACUACGUGCCAGCAGCCGCCGUAA